rnacentral:rRNA from 1 species
UACAGAGGGUGCGAGCGUUAAUCGGAAUUACUGGGCGUAAAGGGCUCGUAGGCGGCCAACUAAGUCAGACGUGAAAUCCCUCGGCUUAACCGGGGAACUGCGUCUGAUACUGGAUGGCUUGAGAUUGGGAGAGGGAUGCGGAAUUCCAGGUGUAGCGGUGAAAUGCGUAGAUAUCUGGAGGAACACCGGUGGCGAAGGCGGCAUCCUGGACCAACACUGACGCUGAGGAGCGAAAGCCAGGGGAGCAAACGGG